AGCGAACGCUGGCGGCAGGCUUAACACAUGCAAGUCGAACGGGCGUAGCAAUACGUCAGUGGCAGACGGGUGAGUAACGCGUGGGAACGUACCUUUUGGUUCGGAACAACCCAGGGAAACUUGGGCUAAUACCGGAUAAGCCCUUACGGGGAAAGAUUUAUCGCCGAAAGAUCGGCCCGCGUCUGAUUAGCUAGUUGGUGUGGUAACGGCGCACCAAGGCGACGAUCGGUAGCUGGUCUGAGAGGAUGAUCAGCCACAUUGGGACUGAGACACGGCCCAAACUCCUACGGGAGGCAGCAGUGGGGAAUAUUGGACAAUGGGCGCAAGCCUGAUCCAGCCAUGCCGCGUGAGUGAUGAAGGCCCUAGGGUUGUAAAGCUCUUUUGUGCGGGAAGAUAAUGACGGUACCGCAAGAAUAAGCCCCGGCUAACUUCGUGCCAGCCGCCGCU
rnacentral:rRNA from 1 species